GGGUUGUGAGGUUAAGCGACUAAGCGUACACGGUGGAUGCCCUGGCAGUCAGAGGCGAUGAAGGACGUGCUAAUCUGCGAUAAGCGUCGGUAAGGUGAUAUGAACCGUUAUAACCGGCGAUUUCCGAAUGGGGAAACCCAGUGUGAUUCGUCACACUAUCAUUAACUGAAUCCAUAGGUUAAUGAGGCGAACCG
rnacentral:rRNA from 1 species